rnacentral:misc_RNA from 1 species
UUUUUGACUUGCUUUGCAUGACAGGCUCCCUGCACUACCGUGCGGCCAACUGUCGUGGGCUUGUCUAUUCACUGUCCCUUUGAUUAGCUUUUUGGCUCUUUUGGGGUGCUCGGGUCGGUUGCCUGUGUGGGAUUACCAUUGUUGGUAGCAUGAUUGUCAUGCUGUUGCCUAUUUAGCUCACUCGGUUGAUGUUGUGCAUCGACGGGGGGCCGAGGUGUUGCCGAUUCCAUGUGUUGCCAUGUGCUUNUAGCUUGGAAAUGCAUUUGGGAUUCUGUUGGGUCUCACGGAUAUUGUUCCUUCAGUGUUAGGUCUACGAGCUUCUAGUACGUAGACCUACGAGGUUGCCCUUGCACCUAUCAUUUGUUCCUAAUGUCUUGUCGACGUUUCGCAGUUCUUGCGUCACGUUGUCGGAUAUACAGGGUAAAUGAUUAUGUGUUUGUGGCAUGCCUUUUUGAUCGAUUGACACGCGAUUGUUGGUUUGCAUUGUCAUGGGG